AUUGAACGCUGGCGGCAUGCUUUACACAUGCAAGUCGAACGGUAACAGGGUGCUUGCACCGCUGACGAGUGGCGAACGGGUGAGUAAUGCGUCGGAACGUGCCGAGUAGUGGGGGAUAACGCAGCGAAAGUUGUGCUAAUACCGCAUACGUACUGAGGUAGAAAGUGGGGGACCUUCGGGCCUCACGCUAUUCGAGCGGCCGACGUCUGAUUAGCUAGUAGGUGAGGUAAAGGCUCACCUAGGCGACGAUCAGUAGCGGGUCUGAGAGGAUGGUCCGCCACACUGGGACUGAGACACGGCCCAGACUCCUACGGGAGGCAGCAGUGGGGAAUUUUGGACAAUGGGCGAAAGCCUGAUCCAGCCAUGCCGCGUGUCUGAAGAAGGCCUUCGGGUUGUAAAGGACUUUUGUCAGGGAGGAAAUCCCUAGCGUUAAUACCGCUGGGGGAUGACAGUACCUGAAGAAUAAGCACCGGCUAACUACGUGCCAGCCGCCGCAGUAA
rnacentral:rRNA from 1 species